UUUGGAUAACUACCGGAAACGGUGGCUAAUACCGGAUACGACCACUCCUUGCAUGAGGUGGUGGUGGUAAAGUUUUUUCGGCCAGGGAUGUGCUCGCGGCCUAUCAGCUUGUUGGUGGGGUAAUGGCCUACCAAGGCUUCGACGGGUAGCCGGCCUGAGAGGGUGACCGGCCACACUGGGACUGAGACACGGCCCAGACUCCUACGGGAGGCAGCAGUGGGGAAUAUUGGACAAUGGGCGGAAGCCUGAUCCAGCAACGCCGCGUGAGGGAUGACGGCCUUCGGGUUGUAAACCUCUUUCAGUACCGACGAAGCGCCGAUGAUGGUGGUGACGGUAGGUACAGAAGAAGCACCGGCCAACUACGUG
rnacentral:rRNA from 1 species